AAGCGUGUAGGCUGGUUUUCCAGGCAAAUCCGGAAAAUCAAGGCUGAGGCGUGAUGACGAGGCACUACGGUGCUGAAGCAACAAAUGCCCUGCUUCCAGGAAAAGCCUCUAAGCAUCAGGUAACAUCAAAUCGUACCCCAAACCGACACAGGUGGUCAGGUAGAGAAUACCAAGGCGCUUGAGAGAACUCGGGUGAAGGAACUAGGCAAAAUGGUGCCGUAACUUCGGGAGAAGGCACGCUGAUAUGUAGGUGAAGUCCCUCGCGGAUGGAGCUGAAAUCAGUCGAAGAUACCAGCUGGCUGCAACUGUUUAUUAAAAACACAGCACUGUGCAAACACGAAAGUGGACGUAUACGGUGUGACGCCUGCCCGGUGCCGGAAGGUUAAUUGAUGGGGUUAGCG
rnacentral:rRNA from 1 species